rnacentral:rRNA from 1 species
AGUGAACGCUGGCGGUAGGCCUAACACAUGCAAGUCGAACGGCAGCACAGUAAGAGCUUGCUCUUACGGGUGGCGAGUGGCGGACGGGUGAGGAAUACAUCGGAAUCUACUUUUUCGUGGGGGAUAACGUAGGGAAACUUACGCUAAUACCGCAUACGACCUACGGGUGAAAGCAGGGGAUCUUCGGACCUUGCGCGAUUGAAUGAGCCUAUGUCGGAUUAGCUAGUUGGCGGGGUAAAGGCCCACCAAGGCGACGAUCCGUAGCUCGACUGAGAGGAUGAUAAGCCAGACUGGAACUGAGAAAAGGUCCAAACUCCUACAGCAGCAACCAGUGGGGAAUAUUGGAAAAUGGGCGAAAGCCUGACAAAGGCAUACCGCGUGAGUGAAGAAGGACUUCGGGUUCUAAAGCCCUUUUGUUGGGAAAGAAAAGAAGUAGGUUAAUACCUAGCUGUUAUGACGGUACCCAAAGAAUGAGCACCGGCUAACUUCGUG